GGUUAAGCGACUAAGCGUACACGGUGGAUGCCCUGGCAGUCAGAGGCGAUGAAGGACGUGCUAAUCUGCGAUAAGCGCCGGUAAGGUGAUAUGAACCGUUAUAACCGGCGAUUUCCGAAUGGGGAAACCCAGUGUGAUUCGUCACACUAUCAUUAACUGAAUCCAUAGGUUAAUGAGGCGAACCGGGGGAACUGAAACAUCUAAGUACCCCGAGGAAAAGAAAUCAACCGAGAUUCCCCCAGUAGCGGCGAGCGAACGGGGAGGAGCCCAGAGCCUGAAUCAGCAUGUGUGUUAGUGGAAGCGUCUGGAAAGGCGCGCGAUACAGGGUGACAGCCCCGUACACAAAAGCGCAUGUGCUGUGAGCUCGAUGAGUAGGGCGGGACACGUGGUAUCCUGUCUGAAUAUGGGGGGACCAUCCUCCAAGGCUAAAUACUCCUGACUGACCGAUAGUGAACCAGUACCGUGAGGGAAAGGCGAAAAGAACCCCGGCGAGGGGAGUGAAAAAGAACCUGAAACCGUGUACGUACAAGCAGUGGGAGCACAGGUUUACCUGUGUGACUGCGUACCUUUUGUAUAAUGGGUCAGCGACUUAUAUUCUGUAGCAAGGUUAACCGUAUAGGGGAGCCGUAGGGAAACCGAGUCUUAACCGGGCGUUAAGUUGCAGGGUAUAGACCCGAAACCCGGUGAUCUAGCCAUGGGCAGGUUGAAGGUUGGGUAACACUAACUGGAGGACCGAACCGACUAAUGUUGAAAAAUUAGCGGAUGACCUGUGGCUGGGGGUGAAAGGCCAAUCAAACCGGGAGAUAGCUGGUUCUCCCCGAAAGCUAUUUAGGUAGCGCCUCGUGAAUUCAUCUCCGGGGGUAGAGCACUGUUUCGGCUAGGGGGCCAUCCCGGCUUACCAACCCGAUGCAAACUGCGAAUACCGGAGAAUGUUAUCACGGGAGACACACGGCGGGUGCUAACGUCCGUCGUGAAGAGGGAAACAACCCAGACCGCCAGCUAAGGUCCCAAAGUCAUGGUUAAGUGGGAAACGAUGUGGGAAGGCCCAGACAGCCAGGAUGUUGGCUUAGAAGCAGCCAUCAUUUAAAGAAAGCGUAAUAGCUCACUGGUCGAGUCGGCCUGCGCGGAAGAUGUAACGGGGCUAAACCAUGCACCGAAGCUGCGGCAGCGACGCUUAUGCGUUGUUGGGUAGGGGAGCGUUCUGUAAGCCUGCGAAGGUGGCCUGUGAGGGUUGCUGGAGGUAUCAGAAGUGCGAAUGCUGACAUAAGUAACGAUAAAGCGGGUGAAAAGCCCGCUCGCCGGAAGACCAAGGGUUCCUGUCCAACGUUAAUCGGGGCAGGGUGAGUCGACCCCUAAGGCGAGGCCGAAAGGCGUAGUCGAUGGGAAACGGGUUAAUAUUCCCGUACUUGGUGUUACUGCGAAGGGGGGACGGAGAAGGCUAUGUUGGCCGGGCGACGGUUGUCCCGGUUUAAGCGUGUAGGUGUGUGUUCCAGGUAAAUCCGGUUCACUUUAACACUGAGGCGUGACGACGAGGCACUACGGUGCUGAAGCAACAAAUGCCCUGCUUCCAGGAAAAGCCUCUAAGCAUCAGGUAACAUCAAAUCGUACCCCAAACCGACACAGGUGGUCAGGUAGAGAAUACCAAGGCGCUUGAGAGAACUCGGGUGAAGGAACUAGGCAAAAUGGUGCCGUAACUUCGGGAGAAGGCACGCUGACACGUAGGUGAAGUGAUUUACUCAUGGAGCUGAAGUCAGUCGAAGAUACCAGCUGGCUGCAACUGUUUAUUAAAAACACAGCACUGUGCAAACACGAAAGUGGACGUAUACGGUGUGACGCCUGCCCGGUGCCGGAAGGUUAAUUGAUGGGGUCAGCGCAAGCGAAGCUCCUGAUCGAAGCCCCGGUAAACGGCGGCCGUAACUAUAACGGUCCUAAGGUAGCGAAAUUCCUUGUCGGGUAAGUUCCGACCUGCACGAAUGGCGUAAUGAUGGCCAGGCUGUCUCCACCCGAGACUCAGUGAAAUUGAACUCGCUGUGAAGAUGCAGUGUACCCGCGGCAAGACGGAAAGACCCCGUGAACCUUUACUAUAGCUUGACACUGAACAUUGAGCCUUGAUGUGUAGGAUAGGUGGGAGGCUUUGAAGCGUGGACGCCAGUCUGCGUGGAGCCGACCUUGAAAUACCACCCUUUAAUGUUUGAUGUUCUAACGUGGACCCGUAAUCCGGGUUGCGGACAGUGUCUGGUGGGUAGUUUGACUGGGGCGGUCUCCUCCUAAAGAGUAACGGAGGAGCACGAAGGUUGGCUAAUCCUGGUCGGACAUCAGGAGGUUAGUGCAAUGGCAUAAGCCAGCUUGACUGCGAGCGUGACGGCGCGAGCAGGUGCGAAAGCAGGUCAUAGUGAUCCGGUGGUUCUGAAUGGAAGGGCCAUCGCUCAACGGAUAAAAGGUACUCCGGGGAUAACAGGCUGAUACCGCCCAAGAGUUCAUAUCGACGGCGGUGUUUGGCACCUCGAUGUCGGCUCAUCACAUCCUGGGGCUGAAGUAGGUCCCAAGGGUAUGGCUGUUCGCCAUUUAAAGUGGUACGCGAGCUGGGUUUAGAACGUCGUGAGACAGUUCGGUCCCUAUCUGCCGUGGGCGCUGGAGAACUGAGGGGGGCUGCUCCUAGUACGAGAGGACCGGAGUGGACGCAUCACUGGUGUUCGGGUUGUCAUGCCAAUGGCACUGCCCGGUAGCUAAAUGCGGAAGAGAUAAGUGCUGAAAGCAUCUAAGCACGAAACUUGCCCCGAGAUGAGUUCUCCCUGAGACUUAGAGUCUCCUGAAGGAACGUUGAAGACGACGACGUUGAUAGGCCGGGUGUGUAAGCGCAGCGAUGCGUUGAGCUAACCGGUACUAAUGAACCGUGAGGCUUAACCUU
rnacentral:rRNA from 2 species